CAGACCAUCCAUUCUCUCCUUUGCUGGCCUUGAUGAAAUAAUCUACCAUAGAGACCUCUGUGGCAAAGAACUAGGAGCCGACUCCAGCUAAGAGCAGCAGGGAAGUAAGGCCUGUAUUCUGAUAACCCACAAGGAACUGAAUCCUGCUGACAACCAUGUCCAACUCAGAGGCUUCACCCCACAAUGAACCACAUUUCUUCAGCACUCUCAUAGCAUUGGCUUCAUCACAAUCUGCCUCAUCUCAGAAUAACAGGUGCUUGCAAGUCACUACACUGACCAGUUGGGGUUUGAAUUUAUGAUCCUCCUGCCUCUGUCUCUCAGAGUGCUGCGAUUACAGCAUUCAGAAAAUAUGAAGAAAAAGAAGGGAGGGAAGGAUGGAUGGGCAGAGGUAUUCCUAGCACCAUUGGAAUUGUUAAGAGACAGUAGAGGCCAGAUGACUGGAGUGAGCAAAUGACAAAAGAAACUUCACCUAUGGCCAGCCGAAGUCAGAAGACCCGGGCCAUCUGGUCUGCUCUUGUUUUGGGGUUGCCACGGAAGCCCUCUUGCAGAAUUGCUCUGUGAGUGGCAAGAAGUGUCACUAAAAAAUAGAAAAUAAAGGCUGCAGAUUGUCAUGUUUGUAAAAAGCAAUCAUGUUAGCACAAGUCUUUGCCUGUUCUGUCGCCUCCCC
rnacentral:lncRNA from 1 species